CUUCGGGAUAUGCCAAGCGGAGUUGUCGCUCCGUCUAAGCACCGAAAUCCGUGGAGUACCGUAAUGGUGAGAAGCGGAUGAAUGUGUGAUGGGGAAACAUGGCAAAUUCCUGGAGCCCGUGAAAAGGGAGUCAAAUGUUCGUACCGAGAACCGACACAGGUGCCCCUCGCUGAAGAGGCGUAGGCGUGUCGGACUAAUUGUGUUAAGGGAACUCGGCAAAUUGGCCCCGUAUCUUCGGUAGAAGGGGUGCCUGCCUGGAGAUCAGGCAGGCCGCAGUGACCAGGGAGCUCCAACUGUCUAAUAACAACACAGGAGACUGCAACUCCGUAAGGACUAGUAUAGUCUCUGAUUCCUGCCCAGAGCAAGUAUCUGAACACCCGGUUCAACGGGACGAAGGACUUGUAAACGGCGGGGGUAACUAUGACCCUCUUAAGGUAGCGUAGUACCUUGUCGCUUAAUUGGCGACUUGCAUGAAUGGAUUAAUGAGAGCUCUACUGUCCCUAACACAAGUCCGUUGAACUUUUUGUCCUAGUGCAGAGACUAGGGACUCCUAAUGGGAAGUGAAGACCCCGUGGAGCCUUACUGCAGUCUGUCGUUGGGUUACGGUAUUACUUGCGCAGUGUAGAUGGGAGAUGUCGAUCCAGUCCUUCCGGGGACUGGGGAGUCAACAAUGAGACACCAUCCUUGUUAUACUGUAACUCUAACCCGUUGAGGGGACAUCGAUAGAUAGGCAGUUUGGGUGGGGCGCCACACCCUCGAAAAAAUAUCAAGGGUGCCCUAUGGUCAACUCAUGUGAGUCAGAAACUCACAGAAGAGUGUCAAGAGCAAAAGUUGGCCUGACGCGAUCACGCACAGCAAGUGAUCGCGAGAGGAAACUCGGGUCUAACGAACCAAUACGCCCUUUUGAUGAGGGCUAUUGACGACAGAAAAGCUACCCCGGGGAUAACAGAGUCGUCGCCGGCAAGAGCACAUAUCGACCCGGCGGCUUGCUACCUCGAUGUCGGUUCUUUCCAUCCUGGCUGUGCAGCAGCAGCCAAGGGUGAGGUUGUUCGCCUAUUAAAGGGGAUCGUGAGCUGGGUUUAGACCGUCGUGAGACAGGUCGGUUACUAUCUAUUAGGAGUGUCCGGGGUCUGAAGGUAAGAUCGAAAUAGUACGAGAGGAACUUUCGGUCGUCGCCUCUGGUUGAUCGGUUGUCUGACAAGGCAGUGCCGAGCGGCUACGCGAUAAGGGAUAAAAGCUGAAAGCAUCUAAGCUUGAAACCCGACCUAAAACGAGACUCCGUUGAGAGCACGGAUAGAAGAUCCGUUUGAUAGACUUGGGAUGUAAGCACGAAGGCAACGACGUGUUCAGUCCGCAAGCACUAACGCUCAAAUUC
rnacentral:rRNA from 1 species